CUGAGUGCAUGCCUAACAAGAUUCAGGGAUGAGAGGAAGAAAAGGAAGCCAGGGCUUCUCGAAAGCUGACUUCUAUCUCGUGCUGGGCAGGUUCACUGAAGAAUUACAAAGCUGAAAGGUUUGUACUGAGGUCGUGGGGCAGACACAAGCAGCUUGUGCAAUCCCUGCAGUGCUGGAUGAAAAUCAGCACGCGGCAAAUAGGACCUCCGUCCACACAGCCAGGUGUAUGCAAAUGCUUCCUUACCAUUGUUCAAUUCAAGGUAAGUUCUGUUCUGAGUCUGAUUCCUUUCUGCCUUUUUUGGCCAAUGCUGAGCUGCAUCCUAUCAGGGUGGGCACUCCCAUGAGACCCCGGCACUGACUGGGGGCCGGGAGACGCGGUCUGUCUUCAUGUAUUGCCACCAUGCAGGGUUUGCUGAGGUGGCCAACCUCCCACUGGAAAUUACAAUGAGAUGCCCCUGACUCCAGUCUGUGUGGCCACCAAGCACAUGCAGACCCUCCUUUACUUCCCUUCCUUGUGUCUUGCUGGAGACAUGGAAUCCACCCUGAUGCUUUCAAGCCACCCUGGGCCAUGGAGG
rnacentral:lncRNA from 1 species